CGCGUAGGUGGUAGUGUAAGUCUGGGGUGGAAUCCCAGGGCUUAACCCUGGAACUGCCUUGGGAACUGCAUUACUUGAGUCAGUGAGGGGAGGGUAGAAUUCCUGGUGUAGCGGUGAGAUGCGUAGAUAUCAGGAGGAAGGCCUGUGGCGAAGGCGGCCCUCUGGCGCUGGACUGACACUGAGGCGCGAAAGCGUGGGGAGCAAACAGGAUUAGAUACCCUGGUAGUCCACGCCCUAAACGGUGGGCACUAGGUGUAGGGCUCGUAAGGGUUCUGUGCCGAAGGGAAACCAUUAAGUGCCCCGCCUGGGGAGUACGGCCGCAAGGUUGAA
rnacentral:rRNA from 1 species